rnacentral:lncRNA from 1 species
AGCAGACCGGGUGUGGCAGCAUGGAGUUCAUGCGCUGCCGAUCACCUUAAUUGUUCGGGCAGUUGCAGCUGUGGCGUUCCCCUUAAAAGGAGACUGUGCUGCACUGGCUGCUCUUGUUGUCGAGCUUUUGGGUGCCACGCCACAGUUUACUUGGUCCUCCUCAUUUGAUUGCUGUGCGGUCGGGCUGUGCUAUCCCAUGCGCACCUGGGUCUGCUGUCAUCAGAGCUGGGGAGCCGUGGGUGUCUUUGGUUCGUCGGCUGUUUGGCCCUGCUAGCGGGAACGCUGUGGUGGCUUGGUGUGCGUCUCCAUUUUAGAGAUUUCUUUCCCUUACCUGACGAAAUUGUUACAGGUGCCGGCUCUCGUGCGCUUUCCUCCCGUUGCCGUUGGCCGGCUGCUGUUUUGCCCUCCGCAUCGCGUUUAUCGCGUAUGCUCCCAACUGUCACUCCUGUCUACCUCUGCGAGGUAUCAUCGUGUGGGGUCCAAUCUAAAGUGCGAGUGUGUGAGUGAACUGCGCCUCUAGGAUGACUAGGAUUGCCUUUAUUUGGGGUUUAAUGUUUUGUUGCGGGGGUUAUUUUGCAUGUUUAUUUGGGGUUGAUUUGUGAUUAUUGUUUGUGUGGGUAUUUUGCAUGUUUAUUUGGGUUUGACUAAGUGUGCUUUUUGCUCGUGUGGGUUAUUUUUGCAUGUUAUUUGGAUUUGAUUAAUUGUGUUAUUUGUGUGCUGUGUGGGUUAUUUUUGUAUGUUUAUUUGGGUUCUAUUAUUGUGUACGUUUUCUGUUAUUUUCUAAGUGGUGCCGAUCCUACCCUGUGGGGUGCAGGUGUUUUAAAGAUAAUUGUAAAAUCUUGAAUAUGAAUUUAAUAUCUGCACGUUGAGUGUGUGUGAAUGGGGGUGUGAGAGUAUUUUAGCAAUUGUUGUUAGCGGAUAUCCGGAAAUAAAGAUAUUAAUUUUGCACAUUGGACCAGUCUCUUAUCCUCAUUAGAAACACUUGUGCGGCCUUGAUAAUUCUACAG